AAAAAAAUAAAACAAAUAUAUAUAAUAUACUUCCAGAUGUUGAGAAAACUCUAUUUAAAUAUUUCAGUUCGAGGGUAUAAAAAUUAGUUUAAAAGUUAAAAUUGACAUGCUUUAGUUAUAAGAACUACAAAUUACAAAAUAAAUAUUGAACUUUUUAAAAUUAUUUUUUCUGCCAUUGUUGAAAGAGUUUCAGAAAGAAGAAGAAAGACUAUGAUUUUGAGAGUUAAAACAUGUGUAUUUCGUUCAACUUCUACAGAUAUAUAUACACAGUAGUAUAUUCCUAUUAGACUUGGGAAUUGUAUUCUUAUUAUACGACUUAACAGAUAACUUAAGGAGAUAAGGGAUAUCUCAAUAAUUGUUGUAAAUCUAGAAUUAUAG
rnacentral:misc_RNA from 1 species